rnacentral:rRNA from 1 species
UCUAACUGCCAAACCUCCUUGUCAAAGCCUGAUCUCAUUAGAUCUCAGAAGCUAAUCAGCUGGACCUGGUUGGUACUUGGAUGGGAAACCGCUGGGAAUUCCAGUUGCCACCGUCACAA